GAGCGGCGGACGGGUGAGUAAUGCCUAGGAAAUUGCCCUGAUGUGGGGGAUAACCAUUGGAAACGAUGGCUAAUACCGCAUAAUGCCUACGGGCCAAAGAGGGGGACCUUCGGGCCUCUCGCGUCAGGAUAUGCCUAGGUGGGAUUAGCUAGUUGGUGAGGUAAUGGCUCACCAAGGCGACGAUCCCUAGCUGGUCUGAGAGGAUGAUCAGCCACACUGGAACUGAGACACGGUCCAGACUCCUACGGGAGGCAGCAGUGGGGAAUAUUGCACAAUGGGCGCAAGCCUGAUGCAGCCAUGCCGCGUGUGUGAAGAAGGCCUUCGGGUUGUAAAGCACUUUCAGUCGUGAGGAAGGUGGUGUAGUUAAUAGCUGUAUCAUUUGACGUUAGCGACAGAAGAAGCACCGGCUAACUCCGUGCCAGCAGCCGCGGUAAUACGGAGGGUGCGAGCGUUAAUCGGAAUUACUGGGCGUAAAGCGCAUGCAGGUGGUUUGUUAAGUCAGAUGUGAAAGCCCGGGGCUCAACCUCGGAAUAGCAUUUGAAACUGGCAGACUAGAGUACUGUAGAGGGGGGUAGAAUUUCAGGUGUAGCGGUGAAAUGCGUAGAGAUCUGAAGGAAUACCGGUGGCGAAGGCGGCCCCCUGGACAGAUACUGACACUCAGAUGCGAAAGCGUGGGGAGCAAACAGGAUUAGAUACCCUGGUAGUCCACGCCGUAAACGAUGUCUACUUGGAGGUUGUGGCCUUGAGCCGUGGCUUUCGGAGCUAACGCGUUAAGUAGACCGCCUGGGGAGUACGGUCGCAAGAUUAAAACUCAAAUGAAUUGACGGGGGCCCGCACAAGCGGUGGAGCAUGUGGUUUAAUUCGAUGCAACGCGAAGAACCUUACCUACUCUUGACAUCCAGAGAACUUUUCAGAGAUGGAUUGGUGCCUUCGGGAACUCUGAGACAGGUGCUGCAUGGCUGUCGUCAGCUCGUGUUGUGAAAUGUUGGGUUAAGUCCCGCAACGAGCGCAACCCUUAUCCUUGUUUGCCAGCGAGUAAUGUCGGGAACUCCAGGGAGACUGCCGGUGAUAAACCGGAGGAAGGUGGGGACGACGUCAAGUCAUCAUGGCCCUUACGAGUAGGGCUACACACGUGCUACAAUGGCGCAUACAGAGGGCAGCAAGCUAGCGAUAGUGAGCGAAUCCCAAAAAGUGCGUCGUAGUCCGGAUUGGAGUCUGCAACUCGACUCCAUGAAGUCGGAAUCGCUAGUAAUCGUGGAUCAGAAUGCCACGGUGAAUACGUUCCCGGGCCUUGUACACACCGCCCGUCACACCAUGGGAGUGGG
rnacentral:rRNA from 1 species